rnacentral:rRNA from 1 species
AUGAGCGGGCUUGGGGGCGUGAUUGCGAGUGCCGUGGGGAGGCAAAUCGCCAGCAAGCUUGGUAGAUUUGCCUCAGAGGAGAUCACUCUGCAAUGGGGGUUCAGAAAGGAGGUGGCUGACAUGGAGGAGAAGAUGAAGGAUCUGGAGGCCGUGCUGCACGACGCUGACGACAAGUGUCGUCGAGUAGGAGAAGGUGGAAAAGUGUUUCAGCGGUGGCUCACAAAGUUCAAUCGCGCCGCCUACGACGUCGACGACGUGCUCGAUGAGCUGGACGCUAACGAGCUCAUCAAGAAGAGCCAAACCAAGGUCAAGCUAUGGUUUUCCAGGAACAAUCAGCUUCUCCAGCGGCUGGCCAUGCCCCACAAGAUGAAGAACGUGAGGAAGAAAAUAGACAAAUUAGUUAAGGAUGGCCAGGUGCUCAAUCUUAUGCCUCAUCAAGCACCGGCAGAAGGAAGCAGAAACACUGAAACUUAUGCAAUCAACAUUGGUGAAGGCAUGAAAACUGGAAUGGUGGGGAGGGAUAUCGAGAAGGAGAAGAUAAUCAGCCUGCUACUGGCAUGUGAAGCUGAUGAGGAUAUCUCUAUCAUUCCGAUUGUUGGGCUUGGUGGCAUAGGCAAGACAACACUGGCCGAAUCAGUUCUGGCAGACAAGAGGGCCGCCAUCUUCGACGUCUCAGCCUGGGUUAGUGUGUCCAAGCAGUUUGAUCUGCACAAAAUUGGGUGCGCCAUCAUGAGAAGCGUGAAUAGUAACAUCAGCCUUGACAACUGUAGUUUGCAGUUUCUUCAUGAUAAUCUGAAAAGGGAAUUUGCUACUAGAAGAUACUUGAUUGUUCUCGAUGAUCUCUGGGAAGAAGAUGGUGAAAAACUGGAAGAGUUGAAGCGAAUGCUACAAUAUGGCCGCAGGGGUAGCCGGAUUAUAGUAACUACCCGAAACCUAACCGUAGUGCAAAAACUGCGCACAGGUCUUCUUGCAAAUGGCAGGAACAUCCUGCCUGUGCCUGAGUCUCAUGAAAUCAGUUUGGAUGUUUUAUCUCCUGAUGAUUGUUGGGAGUUAAUGAAGAAAAGGGCAUUUGGGCCUGAUGAUCACCAAAGCAUCUUGGAGGAAAUUGGAAAGCAAAUAGCUAUGAAGUGUGGGGGCCUACCACUUGUGGCAAAUGCUCUCGGGCAAGUAAUGUCCGAGUUAAGGACCAGGAGGGCAUGGGAAGACAUAAGAGACACCAAGGUUGAUUUGGGUUUGAGAGAUGCUCAGCAAAAGAAAACACUAGAGAGCCUAAUGCUGAGCUAUUACUACAUGAAGCUGGACUUCAAAAUGUGUUUCACUUAUUUGGCGGCUUUCUCCAAGGGCUCCGUCAUGAAUAGCAACCAUCUAAUCCAUCAAUGGAAUGCUCUUGGAUACAUUUCUCCUGGGUAUGAUGGUCAAAGGUGCAUCAACUACCUUCUAGGGAUGUCAUUUCUUCAAAUUCCAGGCUCUCCUUCAGUUAGUCCAAGUCCAAUGCAUGCCCGAGCUCCUGGGGAGGUCAUCAUGCAUGAUUUGGUUCAUGAUCUGGCAUCAAUAAUUGCUGCUGAUGAAUUCAUUGAACUGGACGCAACAAACAAGUCCAACUGGAACAAAGCUCGUUAUUGCCGACAUGCACAGUUAACCAACUAUAAGAAGGAUUCCGAGGUUUUCAAAUAUCUGCCAGACAAGGGUAGAUCCCUCCAUUUUAGGGAUUUAGUGAAACUGCAACUCCCUCAGAAGGCAUUUUCUCGAUCCAAAUACAUACGUGUCUUGGACUUUGGGGGUUCAGCUGAAGUGCACUCUGCUUCAAGCAACGUAGUGCUUCCAUCUUCCAUUCAUCAGUUGAAACUGCUUAGGUAUCUUGAUGCCACCGGCUUGCCAAUCACAUCACUUCCUAAGUCAUUUCAUACACUUCAGAAUAUUGAAACUCUCAUUCUGUCCAAUUGCUCACUUGAAACCUUGACUGAUAAUGUUUGUCGCCUCAGCAAGCUUUGCUAUUUGGACCUAUCUGACUGUAGCAGCCUUAGUAAACUACCUACAUCGCUAGGGGAGCUCUCCAAACUCUCUUUCCUCAACCUAUCAGGGUGUUCUCUACUCCAAGAGUUGCCCCAAUCAAUCUGCAACCUUACAUGCUUAUGGCACCUAGACAUGUCAGAUUGUCGGAAGCUUCAACAACUCCCUGAUAAUCUUUGGCACCUACUCAAACUCUCGUUCUUAAACUUGUCAAGUUGUUUCAAUCUCGCCAAACUACCUGCCGAUGUUAAAUUCCCAUCUUUAGAGCAUCUGAACCUAUCAAGUUGCCAUGAGCUAGAAAACUUGCCAAAAGAUUUUGGCGUUCAUAAAAAACUUGAGUUCUUGAACCUCUCUGAUUGCUACAAGGUCCCGAUGCUGCCGGACUCAUUUUGCCAACUUGACCAUUUGAAAUACCUAGAUCUUUCGGAUUGCCAUAAUCUCAAAGAACUCCCUGAAUGGUUCGGUAACCUCUUGGAGCUUGAAUAUUUGAACCUAACAAGUUGUUGUAAGCUCCAAAUAUUGCCCGAGUCAUUAUGCAAGUUGUCUAUGCUGAGGUGUCUAUAUCUGUCAUACUGUGUGAGCUUGACAAGGCUCCCUUCCUCAUUUAGUGACCUUAAGCUUCAAACACUAGACAUAAGUGGUGUAUUAUCUCUCCGUGACUUGCCAGAUAGCAUUGGUGGCAUGACUAGUCUCACCCAAUAUAUUGCUGAUCCUAUGCCUGCUACUUUGGCUGAAGAGUCUCGAGCCAUGAAGCAGAGUCUAGGUUUGUCGAGCUAUGUACACCAUCAUGUACACGAGAUAGACAGUGGAAGAUGUAGCAGUAUAGUGGAGCUUGUAGGAUUGACCUGUUCUGAACUGGUCCUGAAAGACCUUCAGAAUAUCAGGGACCCGGAAGAUGCUGACAGAAUGAAAUUGCGUGAUAAAUCAGAUAUUCGAAUAUUAGACCUUUUCUGGCAAAAAGAAGGCAGUGAAUCUGUCCUUGAGAGGCUUGUACCUCCCCGUACUCUUGAACAUUUUGGGCUAUAUGGGUAUAUGGGCAAGGAUUUUCCUAAUUGGAUGUCUCACAUGUCCUCCCACUUCCCUUCUCUCAGCAUACUUGUUCUCCAUGAUUUGGAAACAUGUGAUUAUCUUCCUCCAUUUGGAGGGCUGCCAAAUUUAAGAUGCCUGUUUAUGAUGAGAAUACCCAAGAUCAGGAAAAUUGACAGGGAAUUUUAUGGAGAGGGUGGGCCUUGUAUGAAAUUAAGAACGCUGCAACUGAUAUCGAUGGAGAAUUUGGUGGAAUGGUGGACAACAAAGUCUGGUGAAGAAAACGAAGAGUUUUUAAUCCCUAAUUUGCAUAAUUUGGUGCUCGAGAACUGCCCAAGGCUGAAGUUCCUGCCGUAUCCCCCAAGAAGUAUGAGGUGGAGCUUGGAAAAGAGUGAUCUGGCUUUGCCUGAACAAGGAUUUGGGAAGCUUUUGUCUCACACUCUUCCUUUUGCGAUGAAUAUAUGCAACUGCAAUUUUUCUGAGGACAAGUGGGAUGGACUUGAACACUUAUCCACCCUUGAAGAAUUUAUCGUUAACUCUGUCAGCAGCUUGAGGUCAUUGCCAGAAGUAAUUGCAUGUUUCAGCUCUCUCACAAGACUAUAUUUGGUGUCGCUGAAGGACCUGGAGAGACUCCCAGUUUGGUUGGGGUGCCUCGUUUCUCUUGAAAUGUUUUACAUCCGAGAUUGCUGCAACAUAACGUAUCUACCAGAAUGUAUGAAAGACCUCACUGCUCUUAGAGAGCUGAAGUUGAUAGAGUGCAAAGGCCUAAAAAGCUUUCCGGGAUCAUUGGAACAGCUGACUUCCCUUGAAGAAAUAUACAUCAGAGAUUGCCCCAACAUAACGUACCUGCCAGAAUGUAUGAAAGACCUCACGGCUCUUAGAGAUCUGACGUUGAUGGAGUGCAAAGGCUUACAAAACUUACCGGAAUCAUUGGGGCAGCUGACUUCCCUUGAAGAAAUGUACAUCAAAGAUUGCCCCAACAUAAAAUAUCUUCCAGAAAGUAUGAAAAGCCUCACUGCUCUUAAAGAACUGAAAUUGAUACAGUGCAAAGGCCUAGAAGAAUUACCAGGAUCACUGGGACAGCUGACUUCCCUAGAAGUAAUUCACAUCAGAGAUUGCCCCAACAUAACAUAUCUGCCAGAAAGUAUGAAAAACCUCACUGCCCUCAGAGAACUGAAGUUGAUAGAGUGUGAAGGCCUAGAAGAAUUACCAGGAUCAUUUGGACAGCUGACUUCCCUAGAAGAAAUUCACAUCAGUAAUUGCCCCAACCUGACAUGUUUGCCUGAAAGCAUACACAGCCUCACCUCCUUGAAGAAGCUCCACAUUAGAGAAUGUCCAAGUUUGAUUGCAAAAUACGAAGGAGAGGAUGCACACAAGAUUUCUCAUAUCCCUACUGUCGAAUUAGUUCCAGAUGUACUUACAGCAUUUGGUCGUGUUAUAAAUGCCUUGGCUGGACUUCUUGAGGUGCAGGAGGGGAACAAUGUUGAACAAGCGUCUGGUUCUGGUUCCAGUUGGACCUGUGAAACAAUGUUAACAGCCCCUCAAGAAUGUCCUCAAAAUGUUGACGGGCCAUCCUGUAAGCUUUGA